UACGUAGGUGGCAAGCGUUGUCCGGAAUUAUUGGGCGUAAAGCGCGCGCAGGUGGGAUAAUAAGUCUUUUGUAAAAGUGCGGGGCUCAACCCCGUAACGCGACGGAUACUGUUAUUCUUGAGUGCAGGAGAGGAAAGCGGAAUUCCCAGUGUAGCGGUGAAAUGCGUAGAUAUUGGGAGGAACACCAGUGGCGAAGGCGGCUUUCUGGACUGUGUCUGACACUGAGGCGCGAAAGCUAGGGGAGCGAACGGG
rnacentral:rRNA from 1 species